GGCUGGUCUCCUUGGUGGCGACAGGUUGUGAACCCGGUCAGGUCCGGAAGGAAGCAGCCGCAGCAACGAGGUCGAGUGCCAGGAUAAGGCUGGCCGGC
rnacentral:SRP_RNA from 2 species